rnacentral:rRNA from 1 species
CAGUAGCCACGGUAAUACGUAGGGUGCGAGCGUUAAUCGGAAUUACUGGGCGUAAAGCGUGCGCAGGCGGUUGUACAAGACAGAUGUGAAAUCCCCGGGCUUAACCUGGGAAUGGCAUUUGUGACUGUACGGCUAGAGUGUGUCAGAGGGGGGUAGAAUUCCACGUGUAGCAGUGAAAUGCGUAGAUAUGUGGAGGAAUACCGAUGGCGAAGGCAGCCCCCUGGGAUAACACUGACGCUCAUGCACGAAAGCGUGGGGAGCGAACAGGAUUAGAUACCCGCGUAGUCCCUGUCUCUUAUAU